rnacentral:rRNA from 1 species
GAUGAACGCUGGCGGCGUGCCUAAUACAUGCAAGUCGAGCGAACAGAUGAGGAGCUUGCUCCUCUGACGUUAGCGGCGGACGGGUGAGUAACACGUGGCUAACCUACCUAUAAGACUGGGAUAACUUCGGGAAACCGGAGCUAAUACCGGAUAAUAUAUUGAACCGCAUGGUUCAAUAGUGAAAGACGGUUUUGCUGUCACUUAUAGAUGGAUCCGCGCCGCAUUAGCUAGUUGGUAAGGUAACGGCUUACCAAGGCAACGAUGCGUAGCCGACCUGAGAGGGUGAUCGGCCACACUGGAACUGAGACACGGUCCAGACUCCUACGGGAGGCAGCAGUAGGGAAUCUUCCGCAAUGGGCGAAAGCUUGACGGAGCAACGCCGCGUGAGUGAUGAAGGUCUUCGGAUCGUAAAACUCUGUUAUUAGGGAAGAACAAAUGUGUAAGUAACUAUGCACGUCUUGACGGUACCUAAUCAGAAAGCCACGGCUAACUACGUG